GAUGAAGAACGUAGCAAAAUGCGAUACUUGGUGUGAAUUGCAGAAUCCCGUGAACCAUCGAGUUUUUGAACGCAAGUUGCGCCCGAAGCCUUUUGGCCGAGGGCACGUCUGCCUGGGCGUCACGCAUCGCGUCGCACCCCACAAAUUCUCCGUCAGGGGAGCUUGUGUUUCGGGGGCGGAUACUGGUCUCCCGUGCUCAUGGCGCGGUUGGCCGAAAUAGGAGUCCCUUCGAUGGACGCACGAACUAGUGGUGGUCGUAAAAACCCUCGUCUUUUGUUUCGUGCCGUUAGUUGCGACGGAAGCUCUUCAAAAACCCCAACGCGUCGUCUCUUGACGGCGCUUCGACCGCGACCCCAGGUCAGGCGGGACUACCCGCUGAGUUUAAGCAUAUCAAUAAGCGGAGGA
rnacentral:misc_RNA from 1 species